AAUAGAUGAUACUGUUGACUUUUUAUCACAUGUUUGACCAUUCGUCUUAUUCAAAAAAUUUACGUAAUUAUAAUUUAUUUUGUUAUGAGUUGUUUUAUCACUCAUAGUACUUUAAGUGUGAUUUAUAUCUUAUACAUUUGUAUAAAAUUUUUGAAUAAGACGAAUAGUCAAACAUGUAAGAAAAAGUUAACAGCGUCAUCUGUU
rnacentral:pre_miRNA from 1 species